rnacentral:rRNA from 1 species
ACUCAAAUGAAUAGACGGGGACCCGCACAAGCAGCGGAGCAUGUGGUUUAAUUCGAAGCUACGCGAAAAACCUUACCAAGUCUUGACAUCCCACGCAUAGGUAUGAAAGUACUGAAUCCCUUCGGGGCGUGGUGACAGGUGUUGCAUGGUUGUCGUCAGCUCGUGUCGUGAGAUGUUCGGUUAAGUCCGAUAACGAGCGCAACCCCUAUUGUCAGUUGCCAGCAUUAAGUUGGGCACUCUGGCGAGACUGCCGUAGAUAAUACGGAGGAAGGUGGGGAUGACGUCAAAUCAUCAUGGCCCUUACGACUUGGGCUACACACGUGCUACAAUGGUGACUACAAAGAGACGCAAUAUGGUAACAUCGAGCAAAUCUCAAAAAAGUCAUCUCAAUUCGGAUUGUGGGCUGCAACUCGCCCACAUGAAGUCGGAGUUGCUAGUAAUCCCGAAUCAGCAUGUCGGGGUGAAUGCGUUCCCGGGUCUUGUACACACCGCCCGU